rnacentral:rRNA from 1 species
AGAAUCAACGCUGGCGGCGUGCCUAACACAUGCAAGUCGAACGAGAAAGUGGAGCAAUCCAUGAGUAAAGUGGCGACCGGGUGAGUAACACGUGACUAACCUACCUUCGAGUGGGGGAUAACCUCGGGAAAACCGAGGCUAAUACCGCAUAACAUCGCAAGAUCAAAGCAGCAAUGCGCUGGAAGAGGGGGUCGCGGCUGAUUAGCUAGUUGGCGGGUAACGGCCCACAAGGCGAAGAUCGGUAGCCGGCCUGAGAGGGCGCACGGCCACACUGGAACUGAAACACGGUCCAGACUCCUACGGGAGGCAGCAGUGGGGAAUUUUGCGCAAUGGGGGAAACCCUGACGCAGCAACGCCGCGUGGAGGAUGAAGCCCCUUGGGGCGUAAACUCCUUUCGACCAAGACGAUAAUGACGGUACUGGUGGAAGAAGCACCGGCUAACUCUGCGCCAGCAGCCGC